rnacentral:rRNA from 1 species
AGAGUUUGAUCCUGGCUCAGAAUGAACGCUGGCGGCGUGGAUAAGACAUGCAAGUCGAACGGAAAGUGCUAAUAGCUUGCUAAUAGCAUUUUUAGUGGCGGACGGGGUAGUACAUGCCUCAAAGCGGGGGAUAGCCUUUCGAAAGGAAGAUUAAUACCGCAUGUGGCCUCCUGUUUUUCAGGGUGGUCAAAGAUGCCUUCGGGUGUCGCUUUGAGAUUGGCUCGCGGCCUAUCAGCUAGUUGGUGAGGUAACGGCUCACCAAGGCAACGACGGGUAGCUGGUCUGAGAGGACGAUCAGCAACACUGGAACUGAGACACGGUCCAGACACCUACGGGUGGCAGCAGUCGAGAAUCAUUCACAAUGGGGGAAACCCUGAUGGUGCAACGCCGCGUGGAGGAUGAAGGCCCUAGGGUCGUAAACUCCUGUCAUAUGAGAGUAAGGCUUAUCGGUUAAUAACCGCUAAGAUUGAUAGUAUCUGAAGAGGAAGGGACGGCUAACUUCGUGCCAGCAGCCGCGGUAAUACGAAGGUCCCAAGCGUUGUUCGGAAUUACUGGGCGUAAAGCGUGUGUAGGCUGCGCGAAAAGUCAAAUGUGAAAGCCAGAGGCUCAACCUCUGAACUGCAUUCGAUACUCCCGUGCUAGAGUAAUGGAGAGGUAAGUGGAAUUCCCGGUGUAGCAGUGAAAUGCGUAGAUAUCGGGAGGAACAUCAAUGGCGAAGGCAACUUACUGGACAUUUACUGACGCUCAGACACGAAGGCUAGGGGAGCGAAAGGGAUUAGAUACCCCUGUAGUCCUAGCAGUAAACGGUGCUCGCUUGGUGUGGGAGAGUUCGACCCCUUCUGUGCCGGAGCUAACGCGUUAAGCGAGCCGCCUGGGAAGUACGGUCGCAAGACUAAAACUCAAAGAAAUUGACGGGGACCCGCACAAGCGGUGGAGUAUGUGGCUUAAUUCGAUGCAACGCGAAGAACCUUACCUAGGCUUGACAUGCUUGUCGUACCUUCCCGAAAAGGAAGGGUCACUUCGGGUGGACAAUGCACAGGUGCUGCAUGGCCGUCGUCAGCUCGUGUCGUGAGAUGUUUGGUUAAGUCCAGCAACGAGCGCAACCCCUGUGAACUGUUGCCAGCGGAUAAUGCCGGGGACUCUGUUCAGACUGCCCAGAUCAACUGGGAGGAAGGUGGGGACGACGUCAGGUCAGUAUGGCCCUUACGCCUAGGGCUGCACACGUACUACAAUGCCCAGCACAAUGAGAACCAAUACCGCGAGGUGGAGGCAAUCUGUAAAACUGGGCCCAGUUCGGAUUGGAGGCUGCAACUCGCCUCCAUGAAGUUGGAAUCGCUAGUAAUGCCGUAUCAGCUACGACGGCGUGAAUACGUUCCCGGGUCUUGUACACACCGCCCGUCACAUCAUGGAAGUCGGUCGCACCCGAAGUAUAUGCGCUAACUCCUCGGAGAAGCAGUAUCCUAAGGUGAGGCUGGUAACUGGGAUGAAGUCGUAACAAGGUAACC